rnacentral:rRNA from 1 species
CCUACGGGGGGCAGCAGUGAGGAAUAUUGGUCAAUGGGCGUAAGCCUGAACCAGCCACGUCGCGUGAGGGAUGAAGGUUCUCUGGAUCGUAAACCUCUUUUAUAAGGGAGAAAAGUGCGGGACGUGUCCCGUUUUGUAUGUACCUUAUGCAUAAGGAUCGGCUAACUCCGUGCAAGCAGCCGAGGUAAUACGGAGGAUCCGAGCGUUAUCCGGAUUUAUUGGGUUUAAAGGGUGCGUAGGCGGCCUUUUAAGUCAGCGGUGAAAGUCUGUGGCUCAACCAUAGAAUUGCCGUUGAAACUGGGAGGCUUGAGUAUGUUUGAGGCAGGCGGAAUGCGUGGUGUAGCGGUGAAAUGCUUAGAUAUCACGCAGAACCCCGAUUGCGAAGGCAGUCUGCCAAGCCAUGACUGACGCUGAGGCACGAAAGCGUGGGGAGCAAACAGGAUUAGAUACCCGAGUAGUC